rnacentral:rRNA from 1 species
AUCUCCGGUCAUGCCACCCUGAACAUGCCCAAUCCUGUUUGAUCUUGGAAGCUAAUCAAGGUCGGGCCUAGUUAGUACUUGGAUGAGAGACCACCCAGGAGGACCAGGUGCUGUAGGCA